UUUCUCCAGUUCAUGCUGAUGCAGCCAAGAUUGGGUGUGACCUCUGUGUGAGAUGAAAUAUUACUGGUUGAGUGUUCCUCCCUUGCGUUCAUUCGGAGCCAAAGGCCUAUGAUGGACAGUCCUAUGCUAAUGAGAUAAUACGAUAUACUAUCCAGCCAUCAGAUUGGACUGAGUAUCAUCAUUUCCAGGAAGAUCUGUAGUUGAAAUUGUCCUGGCUGUAUGUGUUGUCCUGAUGUCAACUGGCAAAUGACAAAACCAGCCUGGCAAUGAAGAAGCUCAUAAAGAAACAACGUUCUGCAGCCCCAGCAGACGGC
rnacentral:lncRNA from 1 species